rnacentral:rRNA from 1 species
UACGUAGGGAGCGAGCGUUGUCCGGAAUGAUUGGGCGUAAAGGGCGUGUAGGCGGCUUGAUAAGUCUGGAGUGAAAAUCCCGUUUUCAAGAUGGGACCUGCUUUGGAUACUGUUGAGCUUGAGUGCAGGAGAGGUUAUCGGAAUUCCCGGUGUAGCGGUGAAAUGCGUAGAGAUCGGGAGGAACACCAGUGGCGAAGGCGGGUAACUGGACUGCAACUGACGCUGAGGCGCGAAAGUGUGGGGAGCAAAC